GAGUUGUUGGAGUUUGUUGGCUGUGCUGUGAAGAGGAAGGAGGCAGUGUUGUGAGGAGCUGUCCAUGAGAAAGCAUCAAGAAGGUAUGGGAACUUUGUAAUAAGAUGACAACAGAGGAUGGGAUCCUGCAGGCAAGCAGAGUGGUUGGUCACAGUAAGACAGUGCUGAAAUGGAACAAAGAGUCACCUGAAUUGAGAGUGGAAAUUCCACUGAUGUGUGCACUAGAUGUGAUCCAGGGGGAUUUAUUAGAGGCACGAAGAUACUACAAAUGCAGUGAAAAUAAGGGCAAGGAACCAAGCGCAGAUCCACCCUGGAUUCUGCCAGCACAGCUAUUUCAGUCAGGAGUGUGAAGGCAAAGCUGUGGUGACAGAAGAGCAAGCAAGACACUUGUUCUGGCACAGAGGCCCCUGGCAUCUUGUGUGAGCGCACACGGAGGGUAACAAAUGCUCAGGAAGCAUCAAGCUCUCACAGAGCUCAGUCAGAGUGAGAAAAGCCCUUUUUGCAGAGGGACACACCAGCUCAUUCCAGAAUGGCUCUUGAAGGAAUCUAGGUUUGUUCCAGUGACAGGCUGGGUCACUCUUCAUGAGCACUUUCCUGGAAAAUACAG